GCUGGGUGUGGUGGCGCAUGCCUGUAAUCCCAGCACUCAGGGAGGCUGAGGCAGGAGGAUCGUUGCGAGUUCGAGACCAGCCUGGGCUACAAAGUGAGCUCAAGGCCAGUCUGAACUCCACAGCGAGACCCUGUCUCAAAAAGACCAAAAAAUAAAUAAAUAAAUGAAAUAGGGUUUCGCUAUGCUGUCCAGGCUGGCCUUGAGCUCAUUUUGUAGCUCAGGCUGGUCUCGAAUUCACAAUGAUUCUCCUGCCUCA
rnacentral:sRNA from 1 species